rnacentral:rRNA from 1 species
CACGUAGGCGGACUUUUAAGUCAGGGGUGAAAUCCCGGGGCUCAACCCCGGAACUGCCCUUGAUACUGGAAGUCUUGAGUUCGAGAGAGGUGAGUGGAAUUCCGAGUGUAGAGGUGAAAUUCGUAGAUAUUCGGAGGAACACCAGUGGCGAAGGCGGCUCACUGGCUCGAUACUGACGCUGAGGUGCGAAAGCGUGGGGAGCAAACA